UACGUAGGGGGCAAGCGUUGUCCGGAAUUACUGGGCGUAAAGCGCGUGUAGGCGGCUAAGUAAGUCGGGCGUGAAAUCCCACGGCUCAACCGUGGAAGUGCACUCGAAACUGCAUAGCUAGAGUCCUGGAGAGGAAGGUGGAAUGCUUGGUGUAGAGGUGAAAUUCGUAGAUAUCAAGCGGAACACCGGUGGCGAAGGCGGCCUUCUGGACAGUGACUGACGCUGAGACGCGAAAGCGUGGGGAGCAAACAGG
rnacentral:rRNA from 1 species